rnacentral:misc_RNA from 1 species
AGCAGCCGCGGUAAUUCCAGCUCCAAUAGCGUAUAUUAAAGUUGUUGCAGUUAAAAAGCUCGUAGUUGAAUUUUGGGUCUGGCCGGGCGGUCCGCCCUCUGGGUGAGCACUGUUCCGACGCCGGGCCUAUCCUUCUGGUGAGUCGGCAUGUCCUUUAUUGGGUGUGCCGGGGAACCAGGACCAUUACCUUGAAAAAAUUAGAGUGUUCAAAGCAGGCGUAUGCUCGGAUACAUUAGCAUGGAAUAAUGAAAUAGGACGCGUGGUGCUAUUUUGUUGGUUUCUAGAACCGCCGUAAUGAUUAAUAGGGAUAGUUGGGGGCAUUAGUAUUCAAUUGUCAGAGGUGAAAUUCUUGGAUUUAUUGAAGACUAACUUCUGCGAAAGCAUUUGCCAAGGAUGUUUUCAUUAAUCAAGAACGAAAGUUAGGGGAUCGAAGACGAUCAGAUACCGUCGUAGUCUUAACCAUAAACUAUGCCGACUAGGAAUCGGGGCGAUGUUAUUCUCAUGACUCGCCCGGCGCCUU